rnacentral:rRNA from 1 species
CAGGGCAUAGCUAAGAAAGAAAAGCAUCUCCCUUACACUGAGAAGAGAUUCGUGCAACUCGAAUUGCCCUGAUACCCAUCAGCUAGCUCAAAGUCUAAUAUCAACAAAUCCACGUCAAUAACCAUUAAUACCCUUAAAACCUCUAAACAAAGCAUUUUCCCUUUUUAGUAUGGGCGACAGAAAAAGAAUUAGAAGCAAUAGAAAAAGUACCGCAAGGGAACGCUGAAAGAGAAGUGAAAAACCCAGUAAAGUCAAAAGAAGCAAAGUUUAAGCCUUGUACCUUUUGCAUCAUGGUUUAGCAAGAAAUAUUCAAGCAAAGAGUACUUUAGUUUGACUUCCCGAAACUAAGUGAGCUACUCCAAGACAACCUAAUGUAGGGUGAACCCGUCUCUGUGGCAAAAGAGUGGGACGAGCUUAGAGUAGAGGUGACAAACCUAUCGAACUUAGUGAUAGCUGGUUGCCUGAGAACUGAAUAGAAGUUCAGCCUCUAGUUUUUCUUGGUUCUAUAAUCAACACUACGAUAACAUAGAUUUUUUAAGAAAACAGGAGAGUCAGUCCUAAGAGGUACAGCUCUUAGGACAAAGAGUACAGCCUUCCAAGGAGGAAGAAGAUAUUUAAAAGGUAUAAAUGUCCUGUGGGCUUGAAAGCAGCCAUCACCCAAGAAAGCGUUUAAGCUCGUUCAUUAUACCUCAACUCGUAAUUUCUGUAUAGGAUUCUUAUUCCCCUUAAAAUUAUCAGGCCCUCCUAUACGCACUAUAGGAGUAACACUGCUAGAAUGAGUAACUGGAAAACUAAAAGAUUUUCUCCUGGUAUUUGUGUAAAUCGGGUUGGACAUCCCGCCGAGAAUUAACGGCCCCCCUCACAGAGGGCCAUGAAAAAUUAACCUUAACCACUUGUUAACCUUUCAUCUAUUAAACCGUUGAUCUUACACUAGGUUACCUAUAAGGAAAGACUAAAAGGAAGAGAAGGAACUAGGCAAACACCUUAGCCUCGCCUGUUUACCAAAAACACCGCCUCUUGAAUUUGAAAUAAGAGGUCCAGCCUGCCCAGUGACUACUAAGUUUAACGGCCGCGGUAUUCUAACCGUGCGAAGGUAGCGCAAUCACUUGUCUUUUAAAUGAAGACCCGUAUGAAUGGUCAAACGAGGGCUUAACUGUCUCCUUUUUCAUGUCAGUGAAAUUGAUCUCCCCGUGAAGAAGCGGGGGUGUUAAUAUAAGACGAGAAGACCCUAUGGAGCUUCAGGCACUAAGACAGCUCAUGUCCCUGCCUAUUACUAAUAGAGGACAAACAAAUGAGACCUGUUUUACUUGCCUUUGGUUGGGGCGACCGCGGGGAAAUAAAAAACCCCCAUGAGGAUAGGAAGUAUUACUUCUACAAUUAAGAGCCACCCCUCUAGUUAACAGAAUAUCUGACCCAUAGAUCCAGCAAAGCUGAUCAACGGACCCAGUUACCCUAGGGAUAACAGCGCAAUCCCCUUUUAGAGCCCCUAUCGACAAGGGGGUUUACGACCUCGAUGUUGGAUCAGGACAUCCUAAUGGUGCAGCCGCUAUUAAGGGUUCGUUUGUUCAACGAUUAAAGUCCUACGUGAUCUGAGUUCAGACCGGAGUAAUCCAGGUCGGUUUCUAUCUAUAACAUUGUCCUUUUCUAGUACGAAAGGACCGAAAAGGAAAGGUCCAUACUUUUGGUACACCUGCCCCUCACUUGAUGAAAAAACUAAAACAACCAAGAGGACAUACUAUCUCCCCGUAGAAAAUGGUAC